CGGUGCGAUCAUACCAGCGUUAAUGCACUGGAUCCUAUCAGAACUCCAUAGUUAAGCGCGCUUGGGCUAGAGUAUUACUGGGAUGGGUAAACUCUCGGGAAGUCCUAGUGUUGCACCCU
rnacentral:rRNA from 1 species